rnacentral:rRNA from 1 species
GACGAACGCUGGCGGCGUGCUUAACACAUGCAAGUCGAACGGAAAGGCCCUUCGGGGUACUCGAGUGGCGAACGGGUGAGUAACACGUGGGUGAUCUGCCCUGCACUUUGGGAUAAGCCUGGGAAACUGGGUCUAAUACCGAAUAGGACCACGCGCUUCAUGGUGUGUGGUGGAAAGCUUUUGCGGUGUGGGGUGGGCCCGCGGCCUAUCAGCUUGUUGGUGGGGUAAUGGCCUACCAAGGCGACGACGGGUAGCCGGCCUGAGAGGGUGACCGGCCACACUGGGACUGAGAUACGGCCCAGACUCCUACGGGAGGCAGCAGUGGGGAAUAUUGCACAAUGGGCGCAAGCCUGAUGCAGCGACGCCGCGUGAGGGAUGACGGCCUUCGGGUUGUAAACCUCUUUCACCAGGGAUGAAGCGUAAGUGACGGUACCUGGAGAAGAAGCACCGGCCAACUACGUG